ACUGUACCAGUAGCCCUGAACGACAGAGACAGUGAGUGCAGAAGGAAACAAAAAGCACUAUAACAUUUAUAACAGAAGAAAAAAACACUCCACAUAAAACAUGAACAGAUUCACUUGGACAUCUUUGAUAUUUUUAGUAUGCCUGUACAGAGCUGUAAGCACUGAUCUACAAAAAGAAGAUAGUGAGGGGCUUUUACUUACAACUACAAACUAUGAACAAGAUGCUACUAGAAAUUACUUUUCAUCAGGGGACAGGUUUGAGGAAGAAGACGACGACACUGAAAAUGAAAGAGACGUGUCAAUCCCUAGAGACUCAUUGCUAGGUCUGGACGACGACACAGUAAGAGUGCAACCUGUAGCUAAGCCCAAGAAAUCAGAAGGGCAGGACAAGAAAAAAAAAACGAGGAAAAGAAAAAACAAGCAAAGGAACAAGGACAAAAAUGACAAGAAAAAGACACUGAAAGCAAACCCAUGUAAUACAACACAUAGUGAAUAUUGUAUUCAUGGAGCGUGUGUACAUUAUGAAAAUUUGAAUGAAACAACCUGUAUAUGUCUCAAAGGAUAUAGUGGCGAGAGAUGUGGGGUUCAGCAGCUGUCGUCUGUAAUCAGAGAAGAUAGUAUAGAUGCCACCCAAUCUAUACUUGUAGUAAUAGCUGUGGUGUUCUCUUUGAUAAGUCUUACUGCAGUUGUCAUCAUUAUUUGUGCCCAUUGCAGAGCUCAGAAAAGAUUUACAGAACUUUACCAUGGAGGAAAUGAAGAAAAGGAAAAACUACAACAAGAUAAAGGGGAUAGCCACAUUGUUGUCUAAACAGUAACAGGAGGUCAACAUAAAGAGCACCAUCAGAUGCUGCUCCAAUCAAGAAUGUUUCUUAUAUGUAUAUAUGUGUGUGUGUGUGUGUGUGUGUGUGGUG